rnacentral:sRNA from 1 species
UCUGUCAAGUAAAGUUUGAUGGACAAG